CAGGGCCAUACUAAAACUUUAUGGGGUAUGGAAAGGCACGUUUCCUGAAUUGUAAAUUCCAUUCCUAUAGAGCAUCUGCCAAAGUCUUAUACUUUUUUGAACUCCUUCCCCAUAUCCUACAUAUGAUCAUAUUAAUGUAAGUUCCUUUGGUUGCCAGUAACAGAAACCCGCUCAGGCUUGUUUAAGCAAAAAGGGGGAAUUUAUUAUAAGAUACUGAGGUUUCUCACCGAGCCCAAGAGCAGAUCUGAGUGUCGGGGCAAACAGGGAUAACUAGGAACUUGAAUUCCGUGUGGACUUUAUCUGUUAUAUGCACUUCUCUGAGUGUGUUUUAUUCAUUCUUCUUGCUCACUGCAGACUACCUUCCUUUACUACCUACACAUACAAGAAAAAUACUGACUGCUGUCGCCACUACCUUAUAUUUAACUAGACUAGUCACAUGACUAUGAAGAUCUUUUCUCUCUCACUUUCUCCUAUCUCUUUCUCGUUUUCUCUCUCUGCCCCUCUCAACUCUGGGCUCUCAAUGAAGAAGUUAAUUAGCCUGACUAAAUCUUGUGCAUUUUAUUUCUAGCCCAAUUAUCUGCGUCUAAAGACUGGGAGUGGUGUUGUACCAAAAUGGCGGCUCCCACUAGAACCUUGUAGAUGGAGGGAGGGAGGCGUUCUCCAAAAACGCUGAGGGAGAUUCCAGAAGUUGUGGUUGUGCUGGAUGGACAACCU
rnacentral:lncRNA from 1 species